rnacentral:rRNA from 1 species
UACGUAGGGGGCGAGCGUUGUCUGCAGUUACUGGGCGUAAAGCGCGCGUAGGCGGGUUGGCAAGUCUGCUGUGAAAGCCCGGAGCUUAACUCCGGAGGGUCGGUGGAUACUGCCAGUCUUGAAGGUGCUAGGGAGAGAUGGAAUUACAGGUGUAGCGGUGAAAUGCGUAGAUAUCUGUAGGAACACCAAUGGCGAAGGCAGCUCGCUGGGACGGUACUGACACUGAGGCGCGAAAGCGUGGGGAGCGAACAGG